CAUUGCUGUUGCCAUUGAAGCGUCUCACAUUAAAUUAGGGUUUAAAGGUUCAAAAACUAAAUCCACAUUUCAUGAAAACAUGCGUCUCUUUGUUUCUUCCGAAACUGAAAGAGUGGGAGGCAAUCAUGACAUCAUUGCUAUAUCAUUAAUCACAAUUUCACUCAACAUCAAAUCCCACGCUGCUGUUGUGUGAGUUAGAACCUGAAAGGAGGCUAUGGUCUGAAAAGAAAUCAAGGAAGCACGAACAAGCGCUCAAGCUCGCCGGAGGAUUCGCUCCGUCGAAGUUCUUUGAUGAUAAGAGUUGUCAUGUCAUAAAAGAACCAGUACAUUUUUAUCCUCUAUGUUGACUUUUUUAGUCAAAGUUAAAUGUCACGGUUGUAAGGAGUUUCUGUUUUCUUUUUUCUGGAUUUUAGGGAUUGUUAGUGCAAAUAUCAUAACUACAUUCAUUGGUUCCGGCGUGCUGUUACAAUACUGGUGUGCACCACUGCGCAGCUGGUUGCAUCGCCGGACCAACAGUUCUGUUUGUGUUUGUGUUUGUGUUCUCAUUUGUAGACAAAACUAUACUUUUGUGAAAGUUGUUCGAAACAAUAAUGGCACUUCUUAAAAUUCCAGUGUAUUAAUUAAAACCGCCUGUUCAAACAUACCGAUAUAUGAUGCUGCAAACGGACCUGGAGACAAAAAAACCCAGUAAAAGCGAGUCAAAAUCAUCUCAAAUGCAACGAUAUCCCCGAAAAUGGUUCAGUUUUGGAAGGUGUAAUAACUAUGGCAGCUAUUGAUGUGCUGCACUUCUUAAGUUAUUAAAUGGUGGAUUGUUCUCAGCUUAUAAAUACCGAGUGGGGAGCAUUCUCAAAAGGGCUUUCUAUGACCGAAUACGAUGAAGCAUUGGACUCAGAGAGUAUAAACCCUGGAGAACAAAAACCGUUAUUUGAAAAGACGAUAUUGGGCAUGCAUCUUGGCGAAAUUGUGAGACGAGUACUUGUGAGGAUACCUUAAACAGGUUCACUUUUGGGAAACAUAUUUCCUUAUAGCUACAAACUCCAUUUGCUCUCGGGUAAUGGAAACAAUUGAAUGCUUUCUCCUGUACGAGGAGAAGUAUUUACAAUGGUCAGACAGCUUUGGACUAUUUGUCAUAAAUGGUGUGACAAAUCUUGUUGCAUGUUGUCUCGAUGAUUACAUGGCCAGACAUGCCAGGUGUUCGAGGUACUACUCUGAUAAUGACCAACAUCAAUAUAAGUAAAAUGAGAUGCAAUGAGAUUAGUCCAAGUGAAAAGAGUAAGGGUAUUUGGCGUUGUCCUAGGAAUCCGGGGUAUUAUCCACUUAUAUCUUUCUCUGCCAUCUGAUACUUGUUACUAUACCAUGGUUCUGUUCCUAUCUAUAAUUUAAUAACUACUCAGUAUGUUUGAUCUUAUUUUUGGAUGUCCUUUUUAUUUUAGUAUCUACAUUGUUAAUGCUUAUGGUUAUAGUCCUCGUCCAACUUUCACAAUUUAUCCACUUAUAGUUAUGUCGGGUGACUACGGUAAUCCACAUAGCCGUCUCUCACUUUAGAAUUUAAGAUUAUUUUAAUAUGGUCCAGUCUGCUGUUAUAUGACAUUGCAUAUUUACUUAGCAUCAUUAGUUUUGUAAAGGUUUCAUAGAAGCUGUUUUUUUUAAAAGCUCUCAUUUUGAAAUUCUUUUAAUCAAACUAUAAUAUUUGAAAUUACAUCGAGAUAGAAGGUAAACGGGCAACAAGCUGCGCCGCUACCCAUUUUUGAAUAGCAAAACUUAAUUUGCAAAUUUUACCAUCCUGCAGGAACUCUACUUUGUAGACACACGAUCUGAUUGCAACAAAGCAGUCAAGAUGUUGAAGCUAAAGUGGCGAUGUCAAAAGGAUCAUCACAUGUGUCAUUGACUACACCAGUUUUGAUGUUAGCAGGAGGAGAAUAGGGUUUGCAUCUUGGUUGGAGUCAUUUGUGAAUUGAAAAAACGAGAGUGAUCUGAUCUGAUGUGGAAGGAAUCAGAGGACAGACACCGUGUUAGUGGUCUCCUUUUUUGUUACCUAAUGUUGGUAAUCCACAUACCACACUCCAUCCUAUAAAACGCUUCCAGGAAAGACCCUACAACAGCUAGAAAUCUUGAAAAAAAAGGCUAAAAGAAACAAGUGAGGUGCGUGUUGCAGAUAUGGGUGACCAACUGAAAGAGGCGCGUGUUGCAACAGAUAUGGAGUUGUUAAGGAAUGCAAAUUCGUAGGUUGAUGAAGCUAAAAAAAGAUAUGGACAUAUGAAGGAGGAAGAGAGACCUCUUAGAGGUGUGGUGGAGUCUUUAGAGGCAUGAACUGAAAGAUCUCCUGAAAGAGUUAAAUUGUUGUUAUGGCCCUAAAGUUUGAUCAAAUAUAUUGUUUUAUACACCUUUUUAUUUAUUUUUUUUUUCAAAAAAAAAGACGAUGUGUUUCAGUCCCAUUCAAUAACUCCGUCUACCUUUUUGUGUUAAAUUAUGUUGUAAAUAAAUAAAAGAACAACACGUGUGUAUACAAGUUGCAACUCUUUCUGUAA